rnacentral:rRNA from 1 species
UACAGAGGGGGCAAGCGUUAUUCGGAAUUAUUGGGCGUAAAGGGCGCGUAGGCGGCCUGGCAAGUGGAAGGUGAAAUCCCUCGGCUUAACCGAGGAACUGCCCUCCAAACUGCUUGGCUUGAGUCCGGGAGAGGUGAGUGGAAUUCCCAGUGUAGCGGUGAAAUGCGUAGAUAUUGGGAAGAACACCCAUGGCGAAGGCAGCUGACUGGGCAUUAUCUGACGCUGAGGCGCGAAAGCGUGGGUAGCGAACAGG